AGACAUUUUAUAGAUCCGCAAUUGCAUUGUAUGUGCCACACAUACAUGAUAUUUGUAUAAAGCUAUUUUUCUGAGUAGUACAUGUACGUGAUAUGAUAUUGUUUAACUGUACAUCUGGCCUAUUCAUAAGUUUCAUUUUGUUUGAACAAAUUUGUACAGUAUAAAUAAACAUUCAAGUUUAGACUUCGAUUAAAACUCGCGGUCAGUCUUGCACAUGCCUAUUUAGCGUGGGACAACUUGCUGAAUUUUUCUCGUUUUCAAUAAUAAUUCAUGCCUUAUUCUGAUUGGUUCCUUCACACUUUUGUAGAGACAAUUCAUCUAGUCAUAUAUUGUCUGCUCGAAUGUAUGUUCUCGUAUCAUGAUCCUUAAAAAAACAAAAUCGCUCUCUUAUUGUUAACAGAAAAUAUUAAACGGUCAUGAAAACAUAAAAGUUGGCCCAUGGUCAGUAAAGGUGGGGGUUUCCCAUGAUGCAGUCUGAAAUAAUUGUUGUAAAUCAGUUAUGCGCAAUCAAUAAUUUACCUGUAUUACGAAAAUGUGCUGUCAUCUUGAAAAUCCACACAGCCCGCAUCUAACCUGAUAGCGUUUGUUCCUAAUAAAAAUGGUGAAUGUUUUUAUUGGUUGUUUGAUAACUAUAUUGAUGCUGACUCAUGUUCACUGUUUUUGUUAUUUCAGAUUUUUACACCAAAUGAACUAAAAUUGUUGUAGUCAUGAAUAAAAGCAAAUUCUUU
rnacentral:misc_RNA from 1 species